rnacentral:rRNA from 1 species
GCGUGGGGAUCUGCCCUUGGGUUCGGAAUAACAGUGGGAAACUACUGCUAAUACCGGAUGAUGACGUAAGUCCAAAGAUUUAUCGCCCAAGGAUGAACCCGCGUCCGAUUAGCUAGUUGGUGAGGUAAAGGCUCACCAAGGCGACGAUCGGUAGCUGGUCUGAGAGGAUGAUCAGCCACACUGGGACUGAGACACGGCCCAGACUCCUACGGGAGGCAGCAGUGGGGAAUAUUGGACAAUGGGCGAAAGCCUGAUCCAGCAAUGCCGCGUGAGUGAUGAAGGCCUUAGGGUUGUAAAGCU